rnacentral:snoRNA from 1 species
UCCCUCUCUGGGUCAUACCUGGAGAGUUUCCAGUACUUUACCAGUCUUGGCUAUGGGAGGGCGAAUCAAGCUGAGGCCUACCCGUUCCAUUCCUAGCUUGGACAGUGGCUAACGAGUGGAAGGCCAUCUGCUACAAGU